rnacentral:rRNA from 1 species
UACAUGGGGUGCAAACGUUGCUCGGAAUUAUUGGGCGUAAAGCGCGCGUAGGCGGUUACUCAAGUCGGAUGUGAAAGCCCUCGGCUUAACUGAGGAAGUGCACCCGAAACUGAGUAGCUAGAGUACUAAAGAGGGUCGCGGAAUUCCCGGUGUAGAGGUGAAAUUCGUAGAUAUCGGGAGGAACACCGGGUGGCGAAGGCGGCGACCUGGGUGAGAUACUGACGCUGAGGCGCGAAAGCGGUGGGGGAGCAAACAGGG